rnacentral:lncRNA from 1 species
AUGGUGCUGGUCGUGUUAAAAUUGAUACGAAUGGUGAAGGUCUUGUAGUACAGCCUAACACGAGUGAUACGGAUGCGAGAAUAAACCUUAUCAGCGGUGAAGGUGAUGCCGACGCUUAUAUCGGGUUUCACGCACGCAAUCCUAAUUCGGUUCACGGUAGGUCAGUGUAUAUAGGAGCAAAAGCAAGUGAUACUGCUACAAACAGCGUAGAAACCGAAUUACACUUCAAAGUUCGUGGGAAUAAUCCUUACGAAUGGAAUACGAUGGUGAGUGAUAUGGUUAUAAAGGGUGAUGGCGAUGUUGAGUUUCAGUCUCCAAAGCUGAGGAUACUUGGUGGAAGCUGGAACACUAAGUUUGACCUCACGAACGAGGGAACGAUUUGUAGAAAAUACACCGAUACGAAUAAUGUAGAUCACGGAUCGGGGCUUCACUUCUCGGGGGACUAUAUAUACCCGACUGAUGCGUCUGGAAACCUUAAUAACGAUGUAUUAAGUAUCGGUUUUCCCCAGC